AAUAACAUGUAGGUGGAAAGUGAUGGAAGAUAAAUAGCCAUGGUGAAAAUUUCAAGGAAUGAGGGAGUUUAUUUACAUCAGGAUUGCAAGAAGUACACUUCAUCACACUUCAGGAUUCUUAAAUAUCCAUUGUGUAAAUUCCAGAAUCAUUGUUAAUUGUUAGCCGCACAGGUGUGCAUCAGCAUAGACUUAACAGUCAUCAUCAUGCCUAUGCCAAUCAUGGACAAGGAUUUUGAAUAAAGAACACCAUGUUGUUACCCAUUACAUGACAAAUCUGCCUCGGAUGUGAGGGGGGGGGGGGUGACUCCAAAGCCGAUAGAUCUGCCAUAUUGCUCAAGCUGACAACAUGUCCCAUUGCAUUGGUUCUGGUAAGUUUACAAAAUCUUAUCUUUCUGCACUAGCAGAUAUUGAAAUAUGUACUUAUGCACAAAUAUCUAUGGAUGUAACUGUUGAAAUUUUACUCCUAUUUUAAAUUUUUAAGAUAUCAAUUAGCUCGGUGCACAAUUUUCUUGAUUAAAAUAUACUGUUACAAUAUAUAAUAAAAUAUAGGUAUUUGGUGUUUGCAGACAAGACAAAGCAUUGAGAAGCACAACAUUUUUAUCCAGAUUAAGAGAGAUCUAAAAAAAAAAAAAAAAAAAAAAAGAGUUGAAAGAUGUUUUCUGAAGUAAGACAGCCAUACCCCUAUUUUCCAUGGAACCAAACAAUUAUUUUCCUUGUAUUGACAUGGUGAAAAGGGGGAGGGGGAGUCCAGAAAAUGACGAAGACCUUCAGACUGUCAUCAGUGAUAUUGUUGCAAUUGAACGUAGCCAAUUAUUAUCCAAUAUUAUCUAUGACUGAACUCAUAAGUAGUAAAGGAAAAUGUUUUAAUUUCUUUGUUCAUGUUAUAAUCCUUUAGGUUGAAAUACAUACCUGCUGUUUGUAGAUUAUUUUACAUCUCUCAGGAUUUUCUAGAUGUCAGAUUUCUUAAAAAUCACACUUAAACUUUUUUUUAAAUAAAUGUACAGAAAAAUUGAA